CUUUCAAAACAUGUUAUGCUUGCUAGAAUUGUUCUACAAGUUAUUGAUUGGUCCAGGUCCACGAGCUCAACGGUUCCAAUCACAAAAGGACACACCAGUAUUGCUCUCUUCCCUCCUGCUGCUUUUUUCAUCCAUGCAUAGGCAUGUCACUUUGUGGUUGGAUUGGUCUACCGCCAGGCUGAUGGAUUUGAUCCAACCAAUAAUUUCUCCUAUAGAUGAUAAUUUCUUUAGGAGCACCUUUGGAUAUUUAUUAACUUUCAUCUUGACC
rnacentral:lncRNA from 1 species